UACAGAGGGUGCGAGCGUUGUCCGGAAUCACUGGGCGUAAAGGGCGCGUAGGUGGUGACCUAAGCGUGCGGUGAAAGCCCGAGGCUCAACCUCGGGUCGGCCGUGCGAACUGGGUCACUGGAGCAGAAUAGAGGCAGGUGGAAUUCCGGGUGUAGCGGUGGAAUGCGUAGAGAUCCGGAAGAACACCGGUGGCGAAGGCGGCCUGCUGGGACAGUGCUGACGCUGAAGCGCGACAGCGUGGGGAGCAAACAGG
rnacentral:rRNA from 1 species